rnacentral:rRNA from 1 species
AUUGAACGCUGGCGGCAGGCCUAACACAUGCAAGUCGAACGAGUGGCGGACGGGUGAGUAAUGUCUGGGAACCUGCCUGAUGGAGGGGGAUAACUACUGGAAACGGUAGCUAAUACCGCAUACCAUCGGAUGUGCCCAGAUGGGAUUAGCUAGUAGGUGGGGUAAAGGCUCACCUAGGCGACGAUCCCUAGCUGGUCUGAGAGGAUGACCAGCCACACUGGAACUGAGACACGGGCCAGACUCCUACGGGAGGCAGCAGUGGGGAAUAUUGCACAAUGGGGGAAAGCCUGAUGCAGCCAUGCCGCGUGUAUGAAGAAGGCCUUCGGGUUGUAAAGUACUUUCGGCGGAGAGGCGGUACCCGCAGAAUAAGCACCGGCUAACUCCGUGCCAGCAGCCGCGGUAAUUC